rnacentral:rRNA from 1 species
UACGAAGGGGGCUAGCGUUGCUCGGAAUUACUGGGCGUAAAGCGCACGUAGGCGGUCUUUUAAGUCGGGGGUGAAAUCCUGGAGCUCAACUCCAGAACUGCCUUCGAUACUGGAAGACUUGAGUUCCGGGGAGAGGUGAGUGGAACUGGCGAGUGUAGAGGUGAAAUUCGUAGAUAUUCGCAAGAACACCAGUGGCGAAGGCGGCUCACUGGCCCGGUACUGACGCUGAGGUGCGAAAGCGUGGGGAGCAACAGG